UGGGGAAUAUUGCACAAUGGGCGAAAGCCUGAUGCAGCGACGCCGCGUGAGGGAUGACGGCCUUCGGGUUGUAAACCUCUUUCAGCAGGGAAGAAGCGCAAGUGACGGUACCUGCAGAAGAAGCACCGGCUAACUACGUGCCAGCAGCCGCGGUAAUACGUAGGGUGCGAGCGUUGUCCGGAAUUAUUGGGCGUAAAGAGCUCGUAGGCGGUCUGUCACGUCGGAUGUGAAAGCCCGGGGCUUAACCCCGGGUCUGCAUUCGAUACGGGCAGACUAGAGUGUGGUAGGGGAGAUCGGAAUUCCUGGUGUAGCGGUGAAAUGCGCAGAUAUCAGGAGGAACACCGGUGGCGAAGGCGGAUCUCUGGGCCAUUACUGACGCUGAGGAGCGAAAGCGUGGGGAGCGAACA
rnacentral:rRNA from 1 species